rnacentral:misc_RNA from 1 species
AAGUCGUAACAAGGUUUCCGUAGGUGAACCUGCGGAAGGAUCAUUAUUGAAUACACUUGAUGGGUUGUAGCUGGCUCUUUGGAGCAUGUGCACGCCUGUCUUGAUAUUAUUCAUCCACCUGUGCACCUUUUGUAGUCUUGGGGGCUGAGAGUAGCCAACUGUCGGGAGGGCCACAUGGCCUUACCGGAUGUGAGGAUUGCUGUGCGAAAGCAUGGCUCUCCUCAAAUGGCCGCAAACUCCCUCAAGUUCUAUGUUUUAUUCAUACACCACAUAGUAUGUUUCAGAAUGUAAUCAAUGGGCCUAUGUGCCUAUAAAACUUUAUACAACUUUCAGCAACGGAUCUCUUGGCUCUC